rnacentral:rRNA from 1 species
GGUUGAAGCGGCUGUAAGAGGUCGUGGAGGACCGAACCCACCAGGGUUGAAAACCUGGGGGAUGACCUGUGGUUAGGGGUGAAAGGCCAAUCAAACUCCGUGAUAGCUGGUUCUCCCCGAAAUGCAUUUAGGUGCAGCGUCGUGUGUUUCUUGCCGGAGGUAGAGCACUGGAUAGGCGAUGGGCCCUACCGGGUUACUGACCUUAGCCAAACUCCGAAUGCCGGUAAGUGAGAGCGCGGCAGUGAGACUGUGGGGGAUAAGCUCCAUGGUCGAGAGGGAAACAGCCCAGAGCAUCGACUAAGGCCCCUAAGCGUACGCUAAGUGGGAAAGGAUGUGGAGUCGCAGAGACAACCAGGAGGUUGGCUUAGAAGCAGCCACCCUUGAAAGAGUGCGUAAUAGCUCACUGGUCAAGUGAUUCCGCGCCGACAAUGUAGCGGGGCUCAAGCGUACCGCCGAAGUCGUGUCAAUCCAGCAGAUAGCCCCAACGGGUGCUGGGUUGGGUAGGGGAGCGUCGUGUGCCGGGUGAAGCCGCGCCGGAAGGCAGUGGUGGACGGUUCACGAGUGAGAAUGCAGGCAUGAGUAGCGAUACACACGUGGGAAACGUGUGCGCCGAUUGACUAAGGGUUCCUGGGUCAAGCUGAUCUGCCCAGGGUAAGUCGGGACCUAAGGCGAGGCCGACAGGCGUAGUCGAUGGACAACCGGUUGAUAUUCCGGUACCCGCUUUGAAACGCCCAAUAUCGAAUCCUCUGAUGCUAAGUCCGUGAAGCCGCCCUUGAUCUCUUCGGAGUGAGGGGGAGUGGUGGAGCCGACGACCCGAGGUGGUAGUAGGUAAGCGAUGGGGUGACGCAGGAAGGUAGUCCAGCCCGGGCGGUGGUUGUCCCGGGGUAAGGGUGUAGGCCGUGUGACAGGCAAAUCCGUCACACAUUAAGGCUGAGACCUGAUGCCGAGCCGAUUGUGGUGAAGUGGAUGAUCCUAUGCUGUCGAGAAAAGCCUCUAGCGAGUUUCAUGGCGGCCCGUACCCUAAACCGACUCAGGUGGUCAGGUAGAGAAUACCGAGGCGUUCGGGUGAACUAUGGUUAAGGAACUCGGCAAAAUGCCCCCGUAACUUCGGGAGAAGGGGGGCCAUGUCUGGUGAUCCAACAUGCUUGGUGAGCUGGGUGUGGCCGCAGAGACCAGCGAGAAGCGACUGUUUACUAAAAACACAGGUCCGUGCGAAGCCGUAAGGCGAUGUAUACGGACUGACGCCUGCCCGGUGCUGGAACGUUAAGGGGACCGGUUAGCCAGGAUUCGUUCUGGCGAAGCUGAGAACUUAAGCGCCAGUAAACGGCGGUGGUAACUAUAACCAUCCUAAGGUAGCGAAAUUUCUUGUCGGGUAAGUUCCGCAGGACACGAAUGGGGUAAUGAUUUCUGGCCUCUCUCAGGCAUAGAUCCGGUGAAAGUGCUCGGCGUCUAAAGAUGUGGGAUUCCCGGAGCUCCUCGGAAACAGCGUGUCCAAGGCCGCCGUGGUCCAGUUGACCCGUACCUUCGGCACGGAUCUGAGAGCGCGGAGCAUCCGGGUGAACAGCGUCGCACCCGGCUGGAUACGCACCCCGAUGAUGGCGCCGGGGCCAGCGCCGGGGCAUCCGGAGACGGC